rnacentral:lncRNA from 1 species
AUAAAGAAGAAUGAAAUCAUGACUGUUCCAGCAACAUGGAUGGAACUGAAGACCACUAUCUUAGGUGAAAUAACUCAGAAACAAAGUCAAAUACUGCAUGCUCUCCCUCAUAUGUGGGAGCUAAAUAACGUGUACAGACAGACAGAGAGGGGAAUAACAGACACUGGAGACUGGAAGGGUGGGAGGGUGGCAGGGAGGGAUGAGAAAUUACUUCAUGGGCAGAAUGUACACUACUCAGUAAUGGUAACACUAAAGCCCAGACUCUUCCACCAUACGAUAUGUCCAUGUAACAAAACUGCAUGUGUACCCCAUAAUUUUAUAUUGUUAAGCUGAAAAGGUGUGUGUAUGUGAACACAGUAAACAUGUAAGUAUAAACAC